rnacentral:rRNA from 1 species
AUGCGUUUGCUCUUCCGUCACAAUAGCCGGUUGCCCAAGUCGACAGUCUCAGAUCGCUUACAGUUACAAGCUAAAUUAUCUGGUAUGAUGGCUUGGAUGUUAGCCUAUUCCAAUCUGCAAGACGUUCAUUUGUUUCUGUUUUGUUAUGGCUUGGAUGUUAGCCUAUUCCAAUCUGCAAGACGUUCAUUUGUUUCUGUUUUGUUAUGGCUUGGUAGUGCAACCCGGUCCAUUUUUGGUGAUCAAAUGGAAAAAAUGUGUUCAUUUGUGUUAGGAAUGUUAGAUUUACACUUCAUGCUUGGUAUUGGUAGAGUCAAUGUUCAAGCUACAUUACAACAUGACUCGUGCUCACUGAAAUCUCAUCAUGUGGAUCAGUAG